GACGAACGCUGGCGGCGUGCUUAACACAUGCAAGUCGAACGAUGAAGCCGGAGCUUGCUCUGGUGAAUUAGUGGCGAACGGGUGAGUAACACGUGAGUAACCUGCCCUUGACUCUGGGAUAACUGCGGGAAACUGUAGCUAAUACCGGAUACGACCCUCGGAGGCAUCUCCUGGGGGUGGAAAGAAUUUCGGUCAAGGAUGGACUCGCGGCCUAUCAGCUAGUUGGUGAGGUAAAGGCUCACCAAGGCGACGACGGGUAGCCGGCCUGAGAGGGUGACCGGCCACACUGGGACUGAGACACGGCCCAGACUCCUACGGGAGGCAGCAGUGGGGAAUAUUGCACAAUGGGCGCAAGCCUGAUGCAGCAACGCCGCGUGAGGGAUGACGGCCUUCGGGUUGUAAACCUCUUUUAGCAGGGAAGAAGCGAAAGUGACGGUACCUGCAGAAAAAGCACCGGCUAACUACGUGCCAGCCGCCGCGGUAA
rnacentral:rRNA from 1 species